rnacentral:lncRNA from 1 species
UUUUUUUUUUUUUUUUUUUGGGGUGUCCCUCUCCGUCCAACAGAAACCCAAAAGUAGUAAAAAUUAUAUGGGCAUCCGCAAGAGUGAUUGAUCGAUCAAAGGCCGCGACUUCAUCUUAUUUGAAAAUUUGUAAGUUUAAGCGCUAUGAACGUUUCCACUCCCAGAUGAUGAAGAAUGGCCCUGGAAAUCCAUCAUCAUCAUCCAUUGUUGAAUCUCUUCUUCUCCGAUCGCUUCCCAGAAUUCCAUACCGUUGCUGGUCCCAAGCUCCAUCCCAGAAGUAUCAACAAUCUCAUUUUUAGCUUUAAUUUCUGGCUGCAAUUGCUUGUGAGGCAGAUGAUGAUGAUGAUGUUGAUCGCGUUCUGGAACCUGUUGGGGUGAGCUCGAACUCUGGUGGCCGUCCAACGUAUAAUCGGAGAAUGGGAAAUUCAGCUUUGCUCUGGGACCCCUGAACUCAAUGGCCGCGCGGUCAUAAGCCCGGGCAGCAUCCUCGGCAGUCUCAAAAGUUCCAAGCCAAACCCGAGCUGCCUUGCGAGGAUCCCUUAUCUCUGCAGCCCAUUUCCCCCACGGCCUCUGUCUCACUCCUCUGUAGUUCUUCUUCUUUCUCUUGACCCCAUUUUUCUUGUUAUUAUCCUCGACUGGGGCGGCUGAGGGCGAGAAGUAGUUGCAUCCCAAGCAGCCUUCGUAUCCGCACAACUGACAAGUCUGGACUGCAGCAGCAGGCACGACUAGAUUAUUUGCAUUGAAAAAAGCAGAGGAGGAGGAGGAGGAGGAGGAGGCUGUGGCGCAUUCGAAUAACGAUGGCGGAAAGAGUCUAAAGUCGUGGAGUGUAUUUGCGUCUGCAUAAGGGGUGGUGGUGGUGACAGUGGAGGCGCCAGCAAUGACAUUCUUCAGAGCGGCCACCAUGACGGAGACUUCUUGCUCGCUGGUGAUCAUACGCGGAGGAGGAGGAGGAGGAGGAGGCAGUGGCGGCGGGAGGAUGGAGGUGGCAUGGGAGCUGGUCAAAGGGAUUCCCUCUUGUUUGAGCCUCUUGGUUGACCUCUGCAUGCUGAAGAAGUAGCAGUAACAACUAAGUAAUAAUCAGUAGGGAGCAGCAAGCAGCAGUUUUCUUGAAACUGGGAACUUGGGGGUGGGGCGUCUGUUAUUCGUCCUGAGAUAAUUGCUUUGUGAUUGUUGGGUAAGAUUUGAGACAAGAAGGAAAGAGGUCAAAGUGGUCGGGGGGGUUAUAUACGGAGAGAGUGCCAGCUCAUACGCCGUUCACACACGGGGUUAUUUGAGGAGCUUGUUUUGAUGGGCUGGCACGUGGGGCAAUUUUGAGAUGGUCUUAGGAUAUCCUGGUGAUGUUUGGGAUGAUGGAGGCGACAUGCGUUGCGACGCUGGGCUGGGAUCUACUGAAACUUCAUUCUUGGAGGGUGAGCUGGCAGGACCACGUCAACAUUCGAGGAAGGUGAAUGUACACUUCAAACCUUGAAAGCUACUGACGUGUCAGCUGCAUCUUAUAAUAGUAUCGUCUACUCACCGAACUGCCACUGCUACGGACGUUUUGGUACCCAUCGGGAAGUCCGUAUCAUAGUUGUCUUUUUUUUCCCCUUUUUUUCUUUUCGGUUCCAGUUAUCCUCAGUUCGAGUACCUCAAUAUUUUUGGAGUUAAUUAUACUCAAACCCCUGAGGUUCGACCAUCUUGUGAGUUAAACCUACAUGAUUGACAAUAUUAUGAAAAGCUCCUCCAUCAUGAUAAACUUAUAAUUGACACCUCCUACCGUUGCCCUACUAAUGCUGACAGUUAAUUUUCUAGUAAUGGCAACUGUUAUGUUUUAUGAAAGUCCCAUAUCACCCGCCGUCAUGCCCAAGUUCUCAUUCUUUCCUUUCCAUUCAAAAUCAAUAAAUCACUUACGACUAUCGUUAAAAUUUUCAUUUUCGUUUAAAGACAAAAAUUUAAACUCAUAUUCCAUCAAUACUUUCUAUUUGUUGGGCUAAGAAAUGCUUACUCGUAAGAGUAUGAUUGUAAUACGACCAAACCUCACAGUUGGUUCUAUAUUUUAGUUAAACUCAAUGGAUGUAAUUAUAAUUAACUCAUAUUUCUAAGAUAAGGUUAAUUAAAAAAUAAUUGAUUCAUAUUUCUCAUAUUUUUAACAAUACAUAGUCAUGCACUACUCUUGAAUACUGAAAAAUAACCCAGCCUUAAUUCUAAUUUUUUUGUAAAAUCCUAAACCCAGGUCAAAAGAUAAGUUUAAUAAAUUCAGUUGGAAAAAGAAUAUAAUUUCAUUAUAAAAUUAUUUUCUUUUUGUGGCCCAUUAAUUGCCAUAGCAAAUCAAUUUGAUAAGGCUUUUCUUCUCCAGUAUUUCUUUUAACUUUACCUUAUCUAAAUGGUGCAAGAGCUACCAUAAUAACUAAAAGGAAGAAAAUACAGAAGGCAUUAGCCUUUCCUUUAACUUUUAGAAAUUUUGGCUAAUUUUGUUUUUAAUAAAAAAAAUUAAUAAUUGUUAAUUAGGCUAAGAGAUCCUUUAGUAGUUUUAUGUACAUUGGUCCAAACAAUAAAUGUUAAAAUUUCAAAAUUAUAAAUAAUUCCCAAAACUCGUAAAAAUUACCUGAAAAAACUUUACGAUGGAGAAAAUCACUUUUUGUCAAUUAAGUGUUUUAAGUCAUAAUUUUGAGGCUAAAAGUUAGAAAAUUAAAAAUUUUAUAAAAAAAUUAUUAAGCAUCUUAAACUUACCUAAAACACUAUGUAAUAAAGAUUUUUCUUUUGUUUUGUAUUUUGAAUGCACCUCAAAUAAUUUUUUUAACAUAUAGUGAUUGUACCUUUAAUACACUUACUACUAAUGAUUUUGGCACAUCAAAUUUACAUCUUUAGGUACUUUAUUUCGCCCUUUGUUAACAAUCUUUUAUUAAUAAAUUUGUCAAAUUGUACAAAAAUUAAGAUAACAUAAGGUAAUUUUGAAAUGAAAUUAUCUUCUUUCUCCUAAAAUGAGUUUUUUUAAUAUUAUAUUUUGAAGAUUCUGACAAUGUUAUAAAAAGUCAAAAUUAAGAGAGAUUUGUGAUAUUUUUGAAAGUUUAAGCAUGAGAAGUAAAACUAUGAGAAACUUAAGGGGUGGUUUUAGAAAUUAUCCCAAAAUGAAAACCAUGUCAGCGUGUUCUUAGCUUUUGGUCUGGACGGUUAAGGACCGUGACAUAAUCGCUGACGAAGGCAACUUACAUGAUGUAAGAAUAUUGGGGACAUUGACACUGUCCGCUCGAGUAUUGACCUUUUCUGGUGACAGAAGUUUCCUGCGCUUCUAGAUUCGUUAACGCGAAACAAGAAGAUUAGCUUCUAAGUCAUUUACAUCCAGCUGAACUGCAUUAAGUAAAAAUUUUUUUUUUUGGGAUAAAAAUUAAUCCUUGGUUGGAAAGCCAUUUUUACCAAAAAAUUUUUACGUUUUUUAUAAACACAGUUUUUUUUCAAUCACCUUCUUAUUUUAAAUAUAUCAAAUUGAUAUAUAUAUAUAUAUAUUUUAACAAAAAUUUCAAAAAAUUGCAAUUCAAAACAAAGCCUAAAUUCUUUAGAGAUACAAAGUAAUGCUUGUCAAUUUUCCUCUAUAACGUGGAUUUAGUUAUUUGGUUGCUUGCCUUGUGAUUAUAGCGAUGCGAAUAUCACCUUUUCUGAGGUAGAACUACUAAAAUAACAAAAUUAAUUGGGAAAAAAAAAACUGAAAAGUCCUUUUGACACUACUAUGUCAUUAUCUGUUUAUUGUAUUUGAGACAUUCAUUGUUCUCAUCAAUAAAUGAUCACAGGAAUGCUGACUCGAAACGUAUAUCUUGAAAUCCGGAAUCCCAUUCUUAUUCUUUAACAUCUUUUUUAUUUCUUUUUUUGUUGAGGGUUUCAAUGUUGGUUAGUAGUAAGCAAGUAGGACACUUGGAUGCGAUUCUGAAAGGAAUACCAAAUACUAACACUAUUUCAAACCAAACGAACAAUGACCUUACCAAACCCAUUGAGGAAAAAGAAAUCAAUAAAGAAGCCUUAUUAGCCAUGAACCUCAGCAAUCACAGAGUAUUUAUGGUGGUAGGUGGAAUGGUUUAGAAAUCGGAUAAUUUGAAAUUGAAUAUGUGGACAUAAAUUUUAACAAGUGAUAAAAGUAUUAUGUUUUCGCAUGUCGUUGUCUUUGUGUCAACAUUAAUUAAUUUAAUAUCUAUAUUUAUUGUAUUAAGAUCUAUGAAUCUCUGGAUAGACAUUCUACCAUAAAUUAUAAUUUUUGACUUAGCAGCUAAAAAUGAAUAAAAGGCACGCCAGAUACGUUCCAAAAUCCAAGACACUGAUGAUCCAAAGUUUGGGCAAACGGGCAUGACAAUUGCGAGGUUUGAGUGCCAAAAACUACAAGCCCCUCCUGGGCAGCUCGUCUGGCAGCGCACGCCUCCUUAGGAGCGUUUGCCAGGGGUUCGAGUCGUGCAGGGUUACCGUGCUUGGGGGGAUGGGGCCUCUCCUCUCGGGCCGCUGGGGAUUAGUCGGGCCGCCUUCGGGUCUUGACCCGGACACCCCAGUGUCGACAAAAAAAAAAAAAAAAAAGUGUGCCAAAAACUACAAAUAGUAGUAUAGUCACAUGUGCCAACGAUGGCUACUGUUGAUGUUACAAGAGCUAGAGUCCCGAGUUCUAAUAUAUAUAUAUAUAUAUAUUUUUACCGUUUUUCAAAUUCCAUCCAUCUCAUGCAAUAAAAAAAAAAAUCCAACUAAUUAUCAGUGCAAAGUUAUCUUGAAUCUGUUCAUAGCUUCCAAGAUGAAGAAUUACAUUGGCGCAUAAUCAUGGCAUAUGAAUCUAGAAACCCAAAAUAAUCUCUACCAGACAGAUAAUGGUAAUGGUGCUAAUGGGACGUCAAAAUUUUGAACCCCAUCAAGCUGUUGAAAUGUGCAAAAGGCGUUGGAACUUGGGGAUUCCGGUGAAGUGAAAGAAGAAAAUUUAUUUCUAAAGCUCAAUUAUCGGUGCCGUCAAUGGCGUACUUAACGUGGUAAAAAUUCCAUCGAUAACAUCAAAAAUUUACGAGAGCUAAUGACAUGGUUCAUAAGGGAAAGGAAAAUGCACAAGAGCCUUCAAACUUAGCACAAAACACUAACGAUAGGCGAGGAGGAGGUAAACCGUUGCUCAGUCAUUUUCAACACUAACUGUGGAAAGAAAAAGUACAACUGGGGAAGAUCCUGCUAUCUAUGCUUUUAUACACCAAAAAUGCGGUUCUGAAUCUAAACCGCGCGGCACUACAUCUUUCUUUGCUGUUCUUCUUUAAUCACAAGAAAGAGUACACUUGAGUCCCUGCAAGCUGGAGAACCAACAGUCAGUGGAUUUAGAGCAAGGAAACAGAUGAUUCUACCAACCAGAUGCAGCCCUAUGCUCAUAUGGCAGUCUGCUCAAAACGGAUUCUUCAUACAGCAAAUUUGAGCAAAUUCUUCCAGUUAGUCAUCAUCCUCUGAGUCUGCGUUGAGAUGGAUAUAUGUUAGCAACUCCUUGAUGUAUUAUACAUUCUAGUGGGAAAGUCACAAGGCAUGUGUGGAUUUUCAAAAGAUUGAUAACCAAAAACUUCUGAAACGUUAUAGGUCAGUAUUAGUAGUAAAUUGAUAUUGUAUUAAAUCAGUAAUUUUAACAUUAUUAAUGCAUGAUGAGGGUAGAAAAUAGAAAUUCAAAAUGUACACGAAAGAGUCACAACCAACACCUGGUGUGAAAGGAAAAAAGACUACAGCAAUUGUUCCAGGUAACACAAUAUAUCAAAUUGAAGCAGGUCAUCACUUUAUGGAGAUGCAAAAGAUAAUCCAAAUGAAAUUAAUAAGGCAUCUUAAUCACUGUGGAUAAAUUAUCCUAUACUGUAAUCACAAAGGAAAAGUCAACGCCUAGGAACGGAAAAAUUAAGACAGGCACUUCCCAUAAUUUGGAAAGUGUGGGAACUUCAAUAUAACCAUGUAACUCCCAAGUAUAAGAUUAUUAUGUGGAAAAAAAAUUCAGUCAUACUUCAAAUCGAAAUCCAACUUCAACUCUUCUGAUGUAUGUUUCUCAUGCUGAUCUUUAAUUAUUCCAUAUGCUACCAGAUUUUUACCUAAAAUGCCCAUUGAUCCACCAAGGCCUGAGAAAAGGAUGCUAAAAAAACUGAGCAGCAUCAAAAGACUCUCGCAAAGUGUAGGUCACUAAAAUGGUAAAGGUCGAAAAGCUAACUUUCCCUUUUUUCCUAAUGUCGAAGGAAAAAGAAAAGAAAAAGGUAUUAAUACUUCAUCCCCUAGUUUAGAUUGUAUUUUCUUUACUAUCUUCUUAAAUGAUUAACCAAAAAAAAAAUUCUCCUGAUAACUUGCAUGUAAACGAUCAUAAACAAGUAAAAAACAGAAACACAACAAGGUGAGAGCACAAGAGUUCAGUUCCAGAAAAACAUUUUCUUCCUGUCAAAUAAAACAUAUUUGGCAAUUUCAACAAUACUUACCAGAACGUAUAUCUUCUCCAACUUUUCCCCUGUUUUUUAGCUGUCUCAUGAUCAUUGCACAUAUGAGAAACCACCAGUAAAUGUGGAAAACAAGCAGCGUCAAUAGCAUUGUGUUGAACACAUAGUACAAGGAGGCAUCAUAAGUGUCUGAUAAAUUGAGGCACAAAACUAUGUAAUAGCUGGGGGAAUGACAAUGACAAAUUAUUAGCAGAAAACAAUCAGAAUAUGAGAAUGAAAACUAAAACAAAAUACCUGUUUGAGAAGCAAACCUUGAAGAUCUUAUGACCCAAAAUGGAAAGUAUAUAAGCCUCAGCACGAGCCAUGAGAGAGCAAAUAACCCAAAGCAUACACUAGCUCCAAAUUCCUUCUCAGAAUAUUUAAAAACUUUAGCAGCUUCCAUGAAGACAUCGCUUGCAUCAUGCAAAGCAAGAAUAAUAGAGCCAAUUCGGAAAAACCUACAUGGAUCAAAAGUUAAAUAUUUCAAAUUAACAUAUCCAUGACUUAACAUGAUAUCUAUAACCACCAACUGAAGUGAAAAUAAUGCAAAUAUGAUCCUUUUUUUUACUUUCAAGUGAUUAAUAAAGUUCUGCAGCCUUUUCGAGUAAAGAGGAUAUGCUCUCUGUUGUCAUGUUCAAAGGACAUACUCCAAAGUGUCAGAUGAAAAAAACAUUGCUAGAGGCACAAACGUACCUUGUAAUAUAUGAAUAGCUAAUCAAGAUAACAGUGACAACAUGAUGGGACAUCAUCACUGCAAAAUCUUUCCUGCGUGUUUCCCAAGUAAGUAAAGCAGAAAUGCUGUAGAUGUAGAAGCCACAUUGACACAUGUAGAUGAGCUUUAUAGAGGGCCUGCAAUGUGAGACACAAUCGAGUGAUUUGAGAUAGCAAGAUUUCGAACAAGUAAGAACCCAGGCUAAGAGCAAACAACAAGAAAUUUCUUAAAUCACAGAAUUACUAUUCCUCAGAUAGAAAUGAAGCAUAAACCAGAGACUGUUCCCAACAAACUAGUGUUAGAAAAUAUUUAAGUAUAAAAUAAAAUUAUCCCAAAAAAUUUAAUGCCACUUCCAAGAAUCAGGUUUCUGUUUCAAAGUUGCAGUGAUCUGUGGUAGUCUCCCAGGACAUUGGCAAGGUCUUGUUGGUAACCUCCCACAAGACGAGAAAAAGAAAAACCCAAACUACAACAGUAAAGCUAUUCCAUGAGAUAAGAACAAAAUAUACUUGGAAAUUGUGCUAGAAAACAUAUGUAGCCAUUUGAAUUUUAAACGUACCAAGUAUGUUAGGAUCUUCUAUUAAACUUAACUUUAGAAUAGCAGUUAGACCUUUUCAGCUGGUUUAAUUUGAAGUAACUACAUUAGAAAUUGCAGCCAAGAACAAGAAGCUUCAUUAAAGGAGAUUAAAGUAAAACCAAAAACGUUUCUUAGUAUUAGAAGGUCAAUUUUAACAACAUCUAUUCCACACUACUUCACAGACAAGUUAGCAACAUAUUAAAUGACAAGCAUGGACCCACCUGAAAUAAAAGAUACGCUCUCUGUUCCAUUGUUAAUGUCCUGUUUCUAUUUUUUUGAUAUCCCAAAAUAUUAGUUGCUUUCCAAUUUUGCCAUUUGAAAAACUUUUCAAAUCUCAAUACACAUUUACCAAGCAGAUAUUUAGAAUUUAAAGGUUACAUAUGUAAAUUGAUGCAAUGUCACCCAGUCUAGACACAACAAUUACAUGUCUCCAUAAAAAGUUGGGUUCCACCAAAAAAUGACUCUAAUUAUGGGUCUGAGAGAAUAUAUUAUACUAACAAAACAUUUAAUACAUUUCAGUUAAAGUAAGUGCCUGUUUGAUAACAUAAAAAAGUGCUGAAACUGAAUUCAUUCAGACAUUCAGAUGUUGUGGGUGUUUGAUAAAUAAAAAUUCACCUGCUGAACUUAUUAAGUGGUGCUGAAUUUGUAUGUAUUUUUUUCAGCACAAGAAUCGUAGCUGAAUGCUUAAUUUGAUAAGAAUCAAGAGAUUUACUUCAACUACUUUAUCUUAUCUACCAAAUAUAUCCCUGUUUGUUAAUUACAUUCAAAAUCCUUAUCUAAUUAAACAACCUAAUAUUCCUUAUUCAAAAUCCUUAUCUAAUUAAACAAAACAACUUGAUAUUCUCUAUUCAAAAAUUUUUUUUAACAAUAGUAUUUUUUUGCAGUAAUUUUCAUCCACAAACAUUUAUAUUUUGAUAUAUAUUUUUUUUGUACAGAUAAAUAUUAUUUAUGUGAUGCAGCUUAUCCACACACACAUGGCUUUAUGACACUAUAUCGAAAUAUUAGAUAUUGGUUGUCUGAUUUUCGAAAUACUUCUCGUCCAAGAUCAAAAGAAGUACGUUUUAACCAAACACAUGCAAGAUUGAGAAAUGUAAUUGAACAUGCUUUUAGAGUAUUAAAAGCUCGUUUUCCCAUUCUCAAAACGAUGAAACCAUACCCUUUUCCCACACAAAGAAACAUUGUCAUUGUAUGCAUUGCUCUUCACAAUCAUUGUCAUUUUCAUACCUAACAAUUUUAAGUUAAUUAAAUCAUAGGUUUUAUUUCCUUUUUGGAUUAAAAGAUAGAAUGGCAAAAUUGUACAAUCUAGCUUAUUAAGCAUUAAAUUAUGAAUAUUUAUCAAACAGUAUAAAUAGAUUCAGCAUUAAGAUUCAGACAUUCAUAUAUCUCUUUUCAGUGCUUAAAAUUCAGCAAAUUAAUUAUUUCAGAAUUCAGAAUUCAGAUUCAGUGUUAUCAAACGGAGCCUAAAUUUACCUUUUGGACCUCAUGUAAAGAGCUAUAGAAAAUUGUUACACCAGAAGUAUGCAUGCCCAACAAUGAGUUAAAAUUUCAGUGAGACCCUACAAUAUUUGUAUUUAUUGAUCCAACAGAUAUAAAGCACAGCAUCAUUUAUUUCCCCAAAAAAUAGAGGAGAUUUUUAUCAAAAAAUAUACGAAAAUAGAAGGUAAAAGAUCUGAGGUAGUUGAGCAUAAUUUAAUCAGACCAACCAUGCAAGAAGAAGCAAACUUUGCUUGUGAAUUAACUCUCCUGUUAACUGCUAUAGCAUUGAGCAUAAUAUGUCACUUCAAUUACUCUAAAAAUCCAAAAUCAGCCCCGCAUGUUUAGUGCUUGAACAAUAUCAAUCAAUGACUUACUUGAGGUGUUGGUUUGGCCACCCUCUGAAGUACUCCUGUAUAUCUGUGAACCACGGCUCACCAUAGAUGACCAAUAGGACAGACAAUUCAACAGUGGCAUAAUAUGUUAGCUUCCACAAAGACUCAGAACAUUUUGCAAUCUUCAUCCUUCUAGCCUUGUUAAUUUUCAGUGGAAUAGAUCCAUUGCUCAAUAACCAUGUUGCUACCCUCUGUAGACAGAAAAUUAAGAAAAUGAUGUAUCUGGAUAUGCUCAAUAGGUUCACAAGUUCAACCACUAGCCAAAGAAAGAUAAAAGUGAUUAUUCUGUUGAUAUUGCAAUGCAUUCUUUAUACUAUUGGAACUGUUCUUGGGAGGAAAACUCUGACAUCUAAUUAUUCAGGAUGUUCUAACAUGUCAAACUAGCAAGCCAAAAGAAAGGGGAAAAAUACUCUAAAACAAACAAACUCCGUGUCUGCUUGAGGGAUUUAUAGAAGGCUUUCAUUUCUUCUAUGAGACAUUAAAGUGCUUAUGAAUGGCUCUCACUAGGCUGAGCGUAAAGACUGCAGAGAACUCUGGUCAACCCGUAUAAUGCUCAAUCUCACCAGGAAUAAAAUACACUGGUACCAUCUAAAAUUAGCUGCUUCAGAAGGAAGGGAAACUCUCAAACAAGGCUAAAAAUAUAUGCGGUGGACAAAGAUAGCAUCAUCUUUUUAUAUUUUGUGAAUGUAAUGAUCAUGUAUUUUUCUAGUUCCUAGCAAACUAAAAACAUUUUAAAACCUGGGCCAAGCAACAAUAAGAAAUCAUUCACCUGCACAGUCAUCUCCUCUCCCACUUCCUGCAAUCCGUAAAAGAGGACUUAAAAUGGCCAAUGAAAGGAACUACAGUGCCGAAUGUUCCAGCAGCAAUAAAUGAGAUGAUAAAAAGUAAAAGAAGAUUCAGGUUCAACGUGUCAAUGAUAUAACUGCUGCUGCAGCCAAGGUGGAAAAAGUUUUCUUUUGUUUGUUAUAUGGAACUUACUUUAGAAAACUGUAAUUCCAUCAGAAGAGGUAAGUUUAGUUGGACUGCUUGCUGCACUAAAAUUCAUAAUUUGCAGCACCUAUGCAAUCUUUGGAAGCAACUUGACUCCAAUCUUACAGCUCUUGAUAGACUUAAAUGUGAAAAGACAAUUUCACGGUAAAUGGAAAAAGUGAUACCCAAUUUUCCCCCAAAGGUAGAAAACCCAAACUCCCAAGCAAUACUUUUUCAUCUCUACCUGUACCAUUAUUAAACAUUGAUUACUUAGAGACUCCCAUUUCAGUAUCUUCCAAACAAGCCAAACAAUGCAUCAAGCUAAUCAGGACUUUCUCUUAAGAGGUCACUUAAUCUACCAGCCAACUACAGUAGGAUACGUCUAGAGCAUAAAGUUCGUGAACCAUACAAUAAGGCAGUGCAAAAGGGAAUCAAUCAAAUUGACAAACAAGAGAUAUGCAAAUUUCCACAAUAUGCCAAGUCUUCAAUAAAGGUGCUACUUUCACCCAGACAAACAAGUGCUCCAUCUUGCAGGCAGAUGUAUGCACAAAAUAAGAAUUUCAAACUUCUCCAACAUAUAUAGAUUAAUUUGACCUUUCUCAGUUUGAAUUAGUUUGGGUUCCUUUGUUUAUACCCUCUACUUUAUCAGUAUCUCCAUGUGCUUGGUUUCUUAUUUACAAAACUCUAAUGCAUCCGGACAACCAGAUUACAUUAGAUUGAAAAAUCAUACUGUCUUUUGCUGUAAAUUUUGCAAAAUGCUAAUUAAUCAGAAUUGGACAAAGCUACUCUUGGGCAGAUUCUUGAUUAUAGCUUCAUAGCCCUGUAAUCGCUUCUUAUUGGUUCCCUGCCCCCCACCAAAAUAAAUGAAUCCAUAGACUAAUUGGCUACUGAAAAAUCUAAAUUUUAGAUGCAAAAUCAAACGAUAAAAUCAAAGGACUGAUUUUGUCACAAUCCAAAUCUAUAAUCAGGUGAAGCAAUCAAACGCAAACACCCCCAAGAUAUACAUUACGAUAAUGCAUGUUUCCAAUGUCCAUGACCAAAUGUAUUUGCACUGUUCGAAAACUGAUAGUUAAGAACAAUAGGCCGAAAUUCAACAACUCUUACACUACCAACUGUUGUCAAUCCGUCCAUCCUAAUUAACUUACUGCUUCGCAUCAAGCGCAUCGGAAAUUUCAAUCAAAUUAUCAUAAAGAAAGGAAUAAUUUUGCUAUCCGCAGAGCGCUCGUCUUGGUUUCCUGGAAAAGGAUGGAGUCGAUAAGGUGCAAACGUUUAAUAUGGUUGAACUUUAACACUUCGAGUAUCAAUAGAAACAAAUGGGGAAAAGUGUACCCCAAUUCUACCGUUUCAAGAUCCAAUAUAAAACAUUAGUGCAGAAUUCAGGCUGAAGAAGUCCAAUUCCAGUCAAGAUGCAAGAACAUCAAAAACAAUCUUCAAACAAUAAACACAAAUGAAUCAAAUGAGACAAAAACCAAUCAUUGACAAAUUCGCAAAUUAAGAUAGCGCGAGCAUAUUUACAUACAGAACAACAAGAACGGGAAGCUUACCUGAAGGAGGUGCUUAUCAAACAAAAACCUGGCGACGGCAAAACCGACUGCGAAAUAUACCGCCAACAGAAAAUGCCAGGCGCUGGGGACGACAUCGGCUUUCCACAUCGAAUCCAGAGCAGCAGAUUGGAUCAUCUUCAACUUCACGUCCACUCCACCCCUAGUUAAUCCUCAUACGUACUUUAGAAAAAAGAAAUCCCUAAUUAUACCCGAACUUGCAAUCUUUUUAUAGACAAAUCUACCAUCGCUGCAGAGGCUGUUGGAGUGGUGUGGGCGGUGAGUUGUAUUAAUUGUGUAUUGAAGCAAUGGAAAGUAAGGGAAGGACGCAGGGAGGAGGGAAAAAGGAGGCGGUUAAAGGUUAACAGGUUUUAAGGCUGGAAGGAAUGGUAAUGAGCAAAGAUGUGAAUGAAGGAAGGAAAGGGAAGGGGGAGGGAGAUCUUGCGAGUUGCGAGGAGAGAGGCGACUGGGUGCAUGCGGAUGCGGGUACACUACACUACAUAACUGCUAAUGAGUGGGCCCUCACCCCUCUCAGUACUUUACAACUUUCUUAAAUAUAUAUCAUUAGCACUCUCUCAUUUUUAUUAAUAAUCACAUUGUCACUAUUAUUUUAAUUAUACAAUAAUUUUCAUUUAUUGAACUAUAUAAUAAAAUAAAUGAUCGAAGUGUAAAUCAAGUGCAAAAUAUAUUUCCUUUACUAAAAUAGAUCAAAUAUAGAAAAAUAUAUUAGCAUUUUAUUUUGGUCUCUGCCACACAAUAAAUGUAUCAUUAGAGCUUGACUGUUUUACCAAAAAAAAAAAAAAACUCUAUUGUUUAAAAUAAAUCGUGCUAAUGUUUACAUUUGUUAUGUUAAUACUUAAUUAGUACAUUGAUUCAGUCGUCGCAUAGAUUAUUGUACAUGCGAACAUCAUUGUUUUCCAUCUGGUUGAUCCAACAAAUAAAAUUGAAACAAAGCUUUUUAGUGAAUCCAGUUAGUUUUUUUGGGAGCGUAUUUAGUUGGCAUUCAUAACACAUUUAAAUUUGGGAAAAACACAAAAAUUUAACAUAGGACUCGUUUAAUAAAUAUGUUGAAGUCAAACAUAUCAUUAAUGGACGUUCAAAUGAAUAUGUGUAUAACUACAUCAUAAAGAUUAAUUAAAUGUUCCUUGAUAAGUCAAGUCCACUAAAUUUAGAGUGAUAUGGACACUUCGGUUGAUAAAAAAAAAUUAGGAUUUGAGCCUUUAGUAUGAGUAGCAUGUUUGGCCCGGCCCUAAAAAAAGGGUACGAGUAGAUUAAAUUAGAUGACAAAAUAGAAAGGAUUUGGACAGUAGUAUAACCACAUCCGCUUUCCUCCAAAUCAACAUAAAAACAUGUACGUGUACGUGCACCCUGCCCCCCAUUCUUUGCUGUUUCGAAACCACUAAAGAGUCGUGAAUUCAAUGAUUUUGUCUACUGACAGUUGUCAGCUUCUCAUCUUUGAUUAAGAGAAAUGCCCAUGGAGACAUACACUUAAGUUAACCAUUGGGCCUUGGUCCGUGUACUCCGUCGGAGGUUCAAAACCUGUCUAGUGCUUCAUAAUAUGCUUCCUUGUUCUUCAAAAAUUUAGAAAGUACAAUAAUGUACUUGUUUAGAUUGAGAAUAUAAUGUAAGAAGAUAAGUGUCGUUCAUGUUCAUCUUCUAAGAGGACAUAGGGUACAAACUUUUUCUUCAAUUUUAUCGUAGGAUUAAGUUGGACGGUAAAAUAGAAGAAAUUAAAAGUAAGAGGUCUUGAAUUCAAAAUCUUUCACUUUUAAAUUUUUUUUUUUUAAAAAAAAUUCAAUUUCCUCAUCUGUAAAGCUCAUGCGAUACUAGUGUUUCUGUUGUAAUUCUUUCUGUCGUAAUUCCAAGCAGUUAAGCAAGUGUUCUUGUUUCAGAAUUGUACUGGCCAUUUAUCUUUGUUGACAAUGAUAAGGAGGUUUGAUGUCUAAACAAAAACAUUAUCCCUUGAAAAUAUGAUUGGGUUGAUCAGCAGUUAGGUUCUCUGAAGAUUGGGCUCGAAAGCUUUUUGAGACGAGGAUUGUACCGCACAUAAUGGACUUUCCAUCUAAGGCUUUGUGAUAAUAACUCCACUUCACAUGGCUAGGCCCAUUGGUGCAAUACGCCCACACACACUCAUAUACUGUUACCUGUAUAUGAGGUUUGCUUGUGUAUUGCUUGUGUUACCUGCAGAAACAGACAGAAAAGUGUAUUGCUUGUGAGGUUUCGGGUCCAAUUCUGUUACCUGUACGUUCAUAUACUGCAAUUUUCACUUCUAGUGCUCAAUUUAAACUGCGCUCAAAUAAGUUCCUUGACAUGCCUUCAAGCACAUAACUUGCCAUUUCAUCAUUUCCAUUGUUGUCGUACCAGUCUUCUAUUAGAGUAUUUUGAAUUGGUUUUUACUACUUAGCAAAAGGCUUUUACCAAAAUAAUGAGAAUGAGAGAAAAAUAUAUUUUUUUUUGGGUUUCUAAAUCUAAAAAUGAUUGUGGAUACAUUAUAGCUAGAAUAAUCUCUUUUACCCUAUUGAAGUGCUUCAAACCUUAUUUGUAGGAUUGUUGCUCUUGCUGUCUUUAUGCCUGUUUGCUUCCCUAGGUUGGUGACAUAGAUUAUUGUUGUUAGGCAGAAAAUAAGAUGAGAUCGAGUUCUUCCCAGUUCCAUCAUAUACACACAAACUACGAAAGAGAAGGGCAGAAAACAUGGCGAUUGCUGAGCUUGUGAGCAACUAUAGUCAGGUGUUCAGAUCAUCAAGGGUUUAUAGCACCUCAUGUUUUUGACGCGCAUCCCCUGAAGUUUGGAGUUGUGAUGGAGAACUUGUACGAAUGAGAAAAUAUCGUCAAUGACCUUGGCAUAUUAUCUCGGUCUUCAAUGUAUUACUCUUGCAAAGAAAGUAGUGACUUUGACAGCUACGGAAAAGCAAAUGUUUUGGCAAUGGAAGGAAAUAAUGACGCUAACGGAUUAAAAGUUGGUUGAGAAGAGAUGUCUGUCAUAGAAGUCAGAAGAAAAAGUUAAAUUGAUCAGGAUGGUUCAUGCCAAACUAACCAGCAGGUGAAGUGUGAGAUUUCUGACUUUGAUUGUUCAUGAAAUUAUACACCAAUAGGGGCUGGAGUAUUUCCUUUAAUCACUUCCACUACGAACCACGCCUUGUUAUCAUCGCAGAUGUUAGUUUUCACCAUAAAUUGGGCAUGAAAUUCGACUUCACAGUUGACAUAUCUGUGCUAUGCAUUGUCGCAUCAGUUAUUUAUUAUUGCGCAUUACCGACCUUAAAUGAUGCUACAAUUAUUUGAAACUGGUUGUUGUGGGCCUAUUUAUUGCCCUUGGGAGAUUUUUAUUUUUCCAAAAUCUGUAUUGCAGAAUUGCUUUAGAGCAAUGAAUCUUGAUGAAUUCACUUCACAGGUAGAGCGAGGGGUAUAUUGGUAGAAGUAUAUAGUUCAUCGAUUCAGCUGGUAUGGAUUUCUUUUUGAUGGUGGAAACUGGAAACCUUUUUAAACGGAGAAUCUAUAUAUGUUUUAUAAUUUUCAAUAGUUAAUCUUUGCUAAAAAGGGCUGGUGUUGCUUUUGCUGUUCAGAAGAACAAUUGGUGUAAUGAUGAUCAAUCCAUUUUAAAUGGAGAAUCUAAGUCAAAAUUUUAACCUUGCAAAAGAAGCUGAUCUUGGUAGCCUAAAGAAUGUGUCUGUUCUAGCUGUCAGAUAACUAAUUCCAGAACUCCUAUCUUAAAAAUCCGGCUGCCAAAGUCUUAUUCUCUUUGAGGUCUAGUUUCAUGAAGUAAUAUAUGUUUGUUUCAGCAAUUAAAGUUUGCAAGAUUAAAAAAAUCUCAGAAAAAGUUGUAUAUUUAGUUGAGUUUAUAUGUUCUGGAAGCUAUUUAUUUCAUAUUAUUUGUAGUUUGCCCGCCAUUGUUGACAAACUUCGUGUACUUUCCUGGUGGGAUUUUCCUUCCGAACCCCACCUCCUCUUUCCCUGUCCUUUCUAUUCUUUUGCGUUUUGGCGCCUGCCAUUUAUUUAUUAGGUGGAGGCUGACCAAUAAUUGAGUUGGGAGGAAGGACGAGAUUUUCUCCAUGCAUGAGACAUAACAUUGGUGCCACCGGCCAAACUAUAUUAGCUUCAGAAUAGAAAAUUGGGAUUAUAUUUAUAGAAUGGCAUAUGUGCCUGCUCUCCAUUUGAAUGCCCUGCAGUUGAGGGCAGUCUCUUCCUUUCGUAGCCAGUAAGGUGAACAUGUGGAUCAUCUUUGCGCCGCUGAUGCAAGAAACCAAGCCGUCUUCUUCUUGGCUCCAACAGUUUAGCUGCAGCAUUCAUUGAGAAUUUGAUUUCUUGGUCCCUGGUCAGUGGUUUGUUUGAAGACUUGCCGCGUUUACCUUCUUCUGCUACAUUGGCGGCACUGCUUUUAACAUUUAUUCAUUUUGGUUGGAGUAUGGUGACUUGAACCCAACAUAUUGAUAUUAUGCCAAGAAGAUAAUGAGACCGCAUCUUUGAGAUUAAUUGAAUAGGGAGAAUGUUCCCCUUUGGUACUCUUUCACUUUUGGGUUUUACAUUUGUGCAAACAUAAUGAUACUGCAACUUGUUUAGCAGAAUUCCGGACAAAAGAAGCCAAUACCAACCUGGCCUCCUAGGUAAAAAAUUUCAGGGUGGUUAUUUGCUGGAAAAGUUGAGCCAUAUUUUCAGGCCAUCCUUUUUCUUUUCUUCGC